ensembl:lncRNA
UUUUUUUUCUUCUGCCUGCUAACAUAUUUUGUGAUACAGCUGCUGGGCUUGAGAUUGCUUUGCAAGACACUGUACAACUGCACUUGGCUUGAGACUUGAGAACGUUGAAUGAAUUGUUGCUUCCGUUUCCCCUUUAAGGCCAGUAUGUAGCAGGAGGGUUGGCUUGGCUACAAACCACUGAGAUACCUACAAUUUCAUAUCCCUCUUCUGCCAGUCCUGGAGCUCCCAUCCUAGACUAUGCUGCUCGCCCGGAAUAUAGUUGCUCAGUUUACAUUCAGCCAUUGUAGGAGAACAGAAGGACUCCUUGGGAAGUCCUAGGGAAUAUAUGUCUGCGUUAAUUAUCUUUUUCAAAUAUACUUGCCUGAAGCUUCAUCGUGUGUUAUCAGUAUAACUGAUGUGAUUGCAUGCAGUGCACAGAAAGCACGAAGAACAAAUCUGAACGGAUCUGUUGUUGUUGCACCUUGAUGAGAACUUAAAGGCAAGUCUUGUUUUUCUCAGUUUUUAAUUAAGUGAAGAUAAGUGCAGAGCAGUCUGGGAGGCAUGAGAUUUAAAAGUAAUAAACUCAGUUCUAUGAGUUUUGUGGCCUUGGGCAAAUGAGUUAAUUACUGCCACUUUGAAUGGUUUUAAUAAGGGUUUGCUGAAUUAUGAGCAUGUUUCUCUAGUGCCCAAGUAGUGAUGUGAAAUAUGUUGAAAUGCAACACUAAAGCUUCUUAUUGGACACAAAAAUGCUUUGUGGCUUCAGGUGUGUUAAAUCCAAACACAGUACAUUCAGCUAUAACUUCCAUGCUUAGAGAUAUUGAAGAAAGUACCUGUCGAUGCACUCUGAAUCUACAUAAGCUGAUGAAAAAUGUAUCAGGUAAAGCUUUGUUUUUCUGUAACUGUACUGUCCAGAAGAAAUGUUAUUGUUCUGCUUACAAAGAUGGUAGUUACAAAUGGGAUUUUCAAGUGGAUAGUGUUCGAUUUCUGUCCUGUGGUUUAUAGAAAUGGUAAAAUGAG